ensembl:lincRNA
CCGGGCCCCAGCCGCCGCGCGCCCUAGCGCCUCCGCGCCAGCCUUGCGCGCCCUCGCCCGCUUCCCGCAGCCCCCGGCCCGCGCCCCUCGGGGUCCCGCGGCGGAACCGCGCGGGAUGUGACCCUUUCCCCGUGCCCCCCGGGGCCCCGCCUUAGCCUGCUUUUGGGAGGGGGGGCGGGUGGGGAGGGGCGCGCGGAUCAUGGCAUUGGAGUUCCCGGGCUUGCAGCCGCCGCCGCCACCUCUUCCACGCAGCCCGAGCGCCCCUUCUUCCCCGAGCAGCAGCGGAGAAGGCGAAGCGGCCGGCGGGGGCGAGGCAGAUGGGGCUCAAGGCGCGCAGGCCGGCGGGGGCGGCUGGCGGCGGCGGCGACGGGGGCGGCGGAGGCGGCGGGGCAGCUAACCCGGCCGGAGGGGACGCGGCGGCGGCCGGCGACGAGGAGCGGAAAGUGGGGCUAGCGCCGGGCGACGUGGAGCAAGUCACCUUGGCGCUGGGAGCCGGAGCUGACAAAGACGGGACCCUGCUGCUGGAGGGCGGCGGCCGCGACGAGGGGCAGCGGAGGACCCCGCAGGGCAUCGGGCUCCUGGCCAAGACGCCCCUGAGCCGCCCAGUCAAGAGGAACAACGCCAAGUACAGACGCAUCCAAACUUUGAUCUACGACGCCCUCGAGAGACCGCGGGGCUGGGCGCUGCUCUACCACGCGCUCGUCAAGGGGAAGCCUUUGGAACAGAGCUGGUAAUGAGUGGGCGACCCCAGAUACUGAAGUUCUUCUGUGCGGGUUUGGGGAGUAGCUGCCAUCCCCGGCUCUCGAGUCCCUAACCCCCUCUCUCACCCCUACUCCUCUGUCCCAAACUCCACAUCAGUCCAGAAAGCAAAGUGUUAACUAGUGGCCCCCCGAGAUGCUCCCCACCACGGCUGCUGUCUGUUCCGAUUAGUUAGUAUCCAGACAAGACCCAGGGUUAACUAUUCGGCAACAGCACCCUUUCUUCAAUUAGAAGGUUUUAAUCCCUACCAUAACUGUGUGAAAUUGGAAAAUUUGGCAUUAUUACUCCCAAUUCACAGGAGAUGAAACUGUUGCACAGAGAAUUGAAAUCACGCACGCCUGGCCAGCCACCCGGGACAGCUCUGCCUGGUGUCUCGUUCUCGGAGGGUGAGCGGUGCCUCCAGCAUUGCUUCUCCUGGCCAGGGGCCUGUUUGGGAGUGAAGUUUCCAGAGGAAGUGCCUUUAUUUCCAGGAGGGGCUGUCCCCUGAGGACCCCCUCCCCUGGCGGUGCCUUUCCGGAGUCGCCUCCACCAUCCUUGUUGCUACGUCCUAUCCCUGCCAUGUGAUGGAGUCUUUCCAAACCUCAAUCCAUAUGUUUGCUGCAUAAGCAAGUGGUGGUUGAAGAAAUGAUUGAACCCGGUUGCAGCCUUGAUCUUGCCUUGAAACAACCAGGGUUGUUUUUGAACUUAGUCUCCACCCUCAAUGACCUUGGAAGACCUCUGUCACAGCCCACCUGUUGUCCCCUGGCCCUUCAGUGAGUUGGUGCUUAGUCAGACCUCUCUGAUGGGAAGUUAAUCUCCAGUCAACCACAUCCUAAAGUUCAUCUUCCAGAUAGUAGGAAAAGGAGCCUUAAUAGGUCUCUUAAUAGUUUCCUGAAGCUAAAUGUAAGUAGGGCUCUUUCAGAAGCAACCUGUAUAUUUUGGGCAGAAUGGGGACGCUAGACAGGGCUUCCCUGGUGGCUCGGAGGUACAGAACCUGCCUUCCAACGCAGGAGACGUGGAUUUGAUUCCUGGGUCAGGAAGAUCCCCUGAAGGAGAAAAUGGCAGCCCAUUCCAGUAUUCUGGCCUGGGAAAUCCCAUGUAUAGAGGAGCCUGGCGUGCUAUAAUGUGUGGAAUCACCAAAGAGUCAGACACGCCUGAGGACGCACACACGGAGGCUGGGUGAUAGAAGGAAGGUUGAGUCGGGACAGCAGGACUUGGGGAAUCUCAGGGCUGUGUUUUGUGGGAAUGGUGGUUUCAGGCGCCUGGACAAGCUUACCCUGCGCUUUGUGAGCUGAUGGCUGUGGGUGGGUCCUCUGUUCAGAAGUAGCGAAUGUCUUGUCUGUGGCCACCUCUGAGCUUUUUGCCCAGUGGCAGUCCCAUGGCAGACUUUUGAAGAAUAGGAAUUGACCAAGGACAUGUGCCAUCUUACAGAGUGUGGAAGAGCCCUUUCCACGCUCCCUGCUCACUCUGCGCAGUCUCCCCUGACCCCACCCUGCCCUUGAUGUGGCAGGAGAAUACAGGCUGGGCCCUCAUGGAGAUGCUCAGCCAAACCCUUGUCUGCCUGUGACUGAGUCACGUAGGAGCCGUCUCAUUUCCUCAUCUGGAAAAUCAGGACAGUGGGCUUAUGGUGAAAACUAAGAUAAAUAAUUGUCACGUACAAAGUACUUGGCCUUUAUAUAAACUGGUGAAUAUGAAGUCUCUUCCUUGCCUCAUCCACCAAGAGUGUCCCAUACGGUGACUACAUAAGAGUUUCAGUUCUCAGGAGGGUUGAAACAGAGAAGCAGAACCAGUAGGAGAGAUCUAUUGAGAGGUUUAUUGCAGGGAGUUUAUUAGGUGAGUGUGGGGGCUGGCAGGGCAACUCUGGAAUCCCAGAGGAGUUGUCAGGAUGGGCAGGCUGGAACUCGCUGCACUGGUGGGAUUUCCUCUUUAUUAGGGACGUCUUGCCUCUGCUUGUAAGGCAUUCUAGCUGGUAGGAUCAGACCCCCAG